rnacentral:tRNA from 1 species
GCGGCCGUGGCGGAAUUGGUAGACGCGCAGCGUUGAGGUCGCUGUGGGGUAACACCCGUGAGAGUUCGAGUCUCUCCGACCGCACCA